UGGGAGAGUGGCAUUAGGAGCAAUUAAUAACUUUUUGUUUUUACGAAGUUAGUGUAACCUGUACGAUUAUAAGAAUGUAAGGCGUCUGCAAGAGGCUGGUGGGCCUGUACAAGGCAUCCCCUGUGAACCUAACCCCACCUAACAUCACUAUCCAUGACUUUAUUUAAUAUAUUUUUAAUGUGACUCUCGUAUUGGCACUCACAACAUGACUGCCCAGCCUGGUCCACUCAUCUUCCACUCUGCUGAUAAACCAAUUUUUUUUCCUAUGUCCUUGGUGAAUGUGAACUUAUCCCAUUCAAACCCAUUACUAUGUGUCUUACCUAGCUCUCCUUAUUGAUAUCCUCUUAUUAAAGCCCUUCAUCCAUUUAUAAACUUUGAUCAAGGCUCCUUGCAUACUUUAUUACAUUUUUUUUUUUUUUUUACAGCAGAGGAGUCAGCUCAAGGGCAUAAAUAAAAGGUAACAAAUGGGAAAAAAAAGCCCGCUACUCACUGCACCGUGUUAUGCUUGUUUUCAAUUUGCAGCAUUCCAAAUACCCAGAAAGAGGUGUGUGUGUGUGUGUGUGUGUGUGUGUGUGUGGGCACCAGGAACUCACCAUGGAGCACCAGCCUUGAAAAAUUUGGGAACCACUGCUAUAUACAGACAGGGAGGUCGUGCAUGUGAGGCCGUGGGUAGAGGCGUGUUGUAUCGACCAGCAGUGUUUUAACAUCCAGACACGGGCAGGCUUAUUCCAGUGCCGUGUGUUGAGUCGCUGCAGCUUUUUCUCAUCACUGUUGUCAGGCAGGGACUGUACAUAUAGGCAGGGAAGUUGCAUGCGUGAGGUUGUGGGCUGUGGAAUGUUCUAUCGGUCAGUGGUGGCAUUUUACGUUGUCUGUGGCCCUGUAAUCUCUAUUCAGACUAUUUCCUACCCUACCAAACUCCUAGGUCUUGGUGAACAGUACAACAUGUGAGGUCACGGACUGAGGAGUGUUUUAUCAGUCAGCGUUGUUAUUUUACAUUUUCUGUGUCCCUGUAAUCUCUAUUCAGGCUAUUCGCCACCCUACAAUAAACUCCUAGGUCUUGGCGAACAGUACAACAUUGCCAGGGAAUUCGUACUAGGGAGGUUGCAGGCUGAGGAAUUUUUAUCGGACAGCGCUGUUAUUUUACAUUUUCUGUGUCCCUGUAAUCUCUAUUCAGGCUAUUCUCCUCCCUACAAUAAACUCCUAGGUCUUGGCAAACAGUACAACAUUGCCUCACUGGAAUACUAUAGGCAGGGAGGUCAUACGAGGGAGGUUCCAAGCUGAGGAAUGUUUUAUCGGACAGUGGUGGUAUUUUAAGUUGUCUGUGUCCUUGCAAGCUCACUUCAGACCAUUCUCCACCCUACAAAGCUCUUAGUGAACAGUACAACAUUGCCUCACUGAAAUACUAUAGGCAGGGAGGUCAUAUGAGGGAGGUUUCAAGCUGAGGAAUGUUUUAUUGGACAGUGGUGGUAUUUUAAGUUGUCUGUGUCCUUGCAAGCUCACUUCAGACCAUUCUCCACCCUACAAAGCUUCAAGUAAACAGUACAACAUUGCCUCACUGGAAUACUAUAGGCAGGGAGGUCAUACGAGGGAGGUUCCGAGCUGAGGAAUGUUUUAUCGGACAGUGGUGGUAUUUUAAGUUUUCAGUAUCCCUGUAAUCUCUAUUCUGGCUAUUCUCCACCCUACAAAACUCCAAGUGAACAGUACAACAUUGCCUCGCUGGAAAACUCAACCUAUGUAUGUGUGUCCAGAGGAUGUCAUUCGGGUGUAAAUAUAUAUAUACAGGCUUUGUUAGUUCAUUGGUGUGAGGCAGGGGAGAACUUACAGGAGGAGAAUAACAAAUAACAGGUAAAGAAUCAAUGUUUGUCUGUCCAGAUGAUGUAUUUGGGUGUACAUAUAUAUACAAAGGGUUGAAGAAGCCUUGCUCAGUUGAAUAGUGUAAGGCAGGAUAUCAUAAGUAACCAGGGAAAUGCAUAUAUGUAGUUUAUGACUGUUUAUUCAGAUUUACACCUGUAGUCCGAUCCAGCACCUAAUAACAUAGCCGCUAGUGGUAGAGGUUUCAGGCUCGUCAUUUCUUUAGGUUCUCUUAACCCGGUAGCUGCGGGGAUCAUGUUCCUUAAUGGUCCCUCUAAGCGAGAAAAAUGAGAAAAAAAACAUCACUCACGCAAACCAUUUCAUGAUAUAUAUCAACGCAUUUGUGAUCAUUUUAUGCAUCAUCUAUUUUUGGGGGGUUUAUAUCAUGGCAAAAAUUUGGUCCGUCGCUGGUACUGGGUCAAUAGCUCCUUUCCUCCCUCUCCUUUCCUCCCUUCCUUCCUUCCUUCCAUCUCUAUUUGCAAAGGUUUGAGACAUGUUGUUCCUCUAGGUUCUAAUAAUGCCUUUCCUUCCCUCCCCUUUCCUCCCUUCCUUCCUUCCUUCCUCGGACUCCAUCUCUAUUUGCAAAGGUUUGAGACACGUUUUUCCUUUAGGUUCUUCUAAUAACAUCUUUCCUCCCUUCCUUCCUUCCUUCCUCGGACUCAAUAUCUGUUUGCAAAGGUUUGAGACAUGUUGUUCCUUUAGGUUCUCUUCUAUCACUCUCCCUCCCUCUUCUUUCCUCUCUGUUCUUUCCGAUUAAGUGCCAGCCAGGCCGUCACUUCAUUCAUGGCCAUCGGAGUCGCCUAAAGAUCAAGAGCGCUCGUAGUGAUUGAAGUUACCAGAGGACUUACCAACAGCAGGUCUUGUAAAUGGCCAGGCCGUCACAUCAUUCAUGGCCAUCGGAGUCGCCUAAAGAUCAAGAGCGCUCGUAGUGAUUGGAGUUACCAGAGGACUUACCAACAGCAAGUCUCGUACAUGGCCUGGUCGUCACUUCAUUCAUGGCCAUCGGAGUCGCCUAAAGAUCAAGAGCGCUCGUAGUGAUUGAAGUUACCAGAGGACUUACCAACAGCAGGUCUUGUAAAUGGCCAGGUCGUCACAUUCAUGGCCACUGGAGCAACCUAAACACAAGGGGCAUUCAUAGUGGACAAAUAUACCAGAAGACUUACCAACAGUCUCACAAGUGGUUUGAUGAAUCCGGCCCUGCAUGGUGGUGAGGAGGUGAAGACAGUCACUGGGUCGUAUCACAAAACAUAUCGCCGCCCAAGAACACAUAUUUGACAAGGCUUUCGUAGGAGUUGUGGGCAUUUCCAGGGGUAGUUUUAUGACCCUGGUGGUAGUGUGAGUCUUCUUCUGUACCGUGAACCUGAAGAAACACUCAUUGGAACCCGACUGACCCCCUCUUUGACCUUUAGAAAUGGUUGAUGUGAGAAGCGAGAGUUUCUUAUAGUACCAACCAAUAGUGAUUCGCCGGGGAAGGCAUCCAGCUCUAUGAUACUCUUGUUGGGGAGUCUGUUGUCGUGCAUGAUUGUGGUGGCCCUGUACAGAUGUUGCGCCGACUAAACAAAACUUUCCAACUUUCCCGGACUGUGCUGCAUGAUAGCGAUGGUGACGAGGAUGGUGAUUCUUCGGGAAAGGCAUUUGCCACUAUGAAUUUUAUAAUAAAGAAAUUAUUAUCA